GUGUUUUGUGAUCUCUUUCACCUGUUUCUCAAGCAAAAUGAGUACAACAUCAUCACAUUCAUUCAACAAUAUCAGGCGGUGGUGCAGUAGACUGGUGAUAUCAAGCUGUGUGGAUCUCUCAAAGCUAAACAGAAAUCCAGCAAAAGUUUUUUGAGUGGUCAUGCUUUAGAAGGUUGCUUUCAACCUCAUAAAUGCGUCCCUAUUAAGUUGUUUCCGGUAGUAGUCCAGCCUAUAUAAGACCAGUGCUAGCAUCUUACCAGGGAUGUGAAAUUCAAGAUGAAUUUAUUAGGCGUUCGAAGGAUCAUCAGAGGAUAAUACAAGAACAGAAGCAGCUUGGUCGCUUCUGUAAAAUUGACGCCAGAAUAACAUUACGCCAGAUAAUUGUACCGAAGAUAGCAAAUGAAAAUAUUGGACUUCAAAUAGUUCUAGACAGAACAUAGAUAUGUUUUCAGGAAGUCUCCGUCAAAUUUUUCCGCUGAUUGCAUUGCUAGAAGACAUAUUGA